AGAGAAUUCGCAAAGCACUAAAAGAUUGUGAAGACAACAUAUUGAAUUAACAUAAUAUAGUCUUGUUAGUGUCAAUCAGUAGACUCAGUAGUCAGUACCAGAUGCUAUUAGAUUGCUUCAGAACAUCUCAUCUCUAUCUAUGCUUAGAAAACAUCUCUUUUGGUUCACAAACCAGAGGAACGUUAAAACCUUUAAUUUGAAAAAAAUUAAUAAUCUGUAGUUUGAAUGAAAUAUCAUUAAUUAUAGCUCUUCUUGACCCUUUUUGGUAAUCAAAUGUGUUUUUCAAUGAAUACUACAUGUGAGUUU
rnacentral:misc_RNA from 1 species